rnacentral:rRNA from 1 species
GAUGAACGCUAGUGGCAGGCCUAAUACAUGCAAGUCGAACGGUGUCUUCGGACAUAGUGGCGCACGGGUGCGUAACACGUAUGCAACCUACCUUACAUUGGGGGAUAGCCUUUCGAAAGGGAGAUUAAUACCGCAUAAGACAGUAGCUGGGCAUCCAGCAGCUGUUAAAGAUUUAUCUAUGUAAGCUGGGCAUGCGUCCAAUUAGCUAGUUGGUGAGGUAACGGCUCACCAAGGCAAUGAUUGGUAGGGGAACUGAGAGGUCAAUCCCCCACACUGGCACUGAGAUACGGGCCAGACUCCUACGGGAGGCAGCAGUAGGGAAUAUUGGGCAAUGGACGCAAGUCUGACCCAGCCAUGCCGCGUGCAGGAUGAAGGCGUUAUGCGUUGUAAACUGCUUUUAUACAGGAAGAAACUACUCUUGCGAGAGGCAUUGACGGUACUGUAUGAAUAAGCACCGGCUAACUCCGUGCCAGCAGCCGCGGUAA